UACGUAGGGUGCAAGCGUUAAUCGGAAUUAUUGGGCGUAAAGAGCUCGUAGGCGGUUUGUCGCGUCUGCUGUGAAAACGCGGGGCUCAACUCCGCGCCUGCAGUGGGUACGGGCAGACUAGAGUGCGGUAGGGGUGACUGGAAUUCCUGGUGUAGCGGUGGAAUGCGCAGAUAUCAGGAGGAACACCGAUGGCGAAGGCAGGUCACUGGGCCGCAACUGACGCUGAGGAGCGAAAGCAUGGGGAGCGAACAGG
rnacentral:rRNA from 1 species